rnacentral:siRNA from 1 species
AUAAAGUGUUAGGGUCACUCCACC